CGCGCUUUUGUCCUUGUGCUGGACGUUUUUAAAGAUCAAAAGAGUGAUCGGAUUGCGUUUGUUUAAGACGGCUGGCGUGUUCGUCGGGGCCAAUCGACGAACGGGGUGUAAGGUUUUUUAGUGGUCGCGUUCGGACAAUUUAUUUAGCAUUGUCCUCGAAUUUUAACUUUUUGCGACGUCUCGCAGUUAUUUUCGAGGAUUAUGCGUGUUUGAAAGGUGAUAAUCUUUACGAUUUUUGGGCCGGAUGAGGCCGCAGACGAGCGUAAACUGAAGCGUAAGCGUUUUCGAUAAAAAGACAGUGUAUAUUGUAAAAAUUUU
rnacentral:lncRNA from 1 species